CGCCGAGGGGAGAGAUGGCGAGAGAGAGAGCAUCGUUCUUCUGUUCCUUCUCCUCUUCCCUGUCGCGCUGCCUUUCUGUUCUUUGGGGUUGAUUUUCUUUGCUCACCAUCAGCUAUGUCUCUUCCUCGCCGUCACGUCCCGCCGCUGGGAGUGUUGCUGUCACCAAAUCCUCUCCUUGCCAUCGCCCCUGUUUCGUCCUAAUCUUCUCUGCUGUAUCGUUGCCAAUGAUUUCUGAUGUUUUUCCCUCUUGUUCGUGCGGCACAUUGAAGCUUUUCCUUUCCUUCUUGGUGUCGACCAUGUGCUGAUUAUAACUGUCACUACUGCACUUUGGGUGAAGAUAUUGUAGCUGACCCUACACCUUUUGCCGAUCAUUGAGGGGUAGUAUUGCUUUUUGGAUAGUGGGAGCAAUCUUUGACAAUUCAUUUUGAUGCAAUUAUAUAUUAUGUUAAAAUUAUAAAUUUAGCGCUCCAUGUAUACCGUAGUUAGGUCCUAAUCUUAUUUUGUUGUUGUGAAAUAUAUUGGUGUGGAGUUAAGCUCCUUUUUGGUUUGGCUGACAGGUUUUGCUCCUGUAGAAAUUUUGGCAGGUCGUAGCUACAGGAGGGUCCUGUCGAAAUUUUUAUAGAAUGUUUAAAGUUUCACCAACUUUAUAA